UACGUAGGGGGCUAGCGUUGUCCGGAAUCAUUGGGCGUAAAGAGCGUGUAGGCGGUCCGGUAAGUCCGCUGUGAAAGCCGGGGGCUCAACCCUCGAAUGCCGGUGGAUACUGUCGGGCUAGAGUGCGGAAGAGGCGAGUGGAAUUCCUGGUGUAGCGGUGAAAUGCGCAGAUAUCAGGAGGAACACCUAUUGCGAAGGCAGCUCGCUGGGACGUAACUGACGCUGAGACGCGAAAGCGUGGGGAUCAAACAGG
rnacentral:rRNA from 1 species